rnacentral:rRNA from 1 species
UUUAACGCUGCGACAGAGCCUGCAUGUCUAGUACGUGCCGUAUUAAGGCGAAACCGCGAAUGGCUCAUUAAAUCAGUUAUGGUUCCUUGGAUCGUACCUCACUACUUGGAUAACUGUGGCAAUUCUAGAGCUAAUACAUGCAGCAGAGCUCCGACCUUCGGGGACGAGCGCUUUUAUUAGACCAAAACCAAUCGGACCUCGUGUCCGUUCUUUGUGGUGACUCUGUAUAACUUUGGGCUGAUCGCACGGGCCCGUCCCGGCGACGUAUCUUUCAAGUGUCUGCCUUAUCAACUUUCGAUGGUAGGUUACGCGCCUACCAUGGUCGUAACGGGUAACGGGGAAUCAGGGUUCGAUUCCGGAGAGGGAGCCUGAGAAACGGCUACCACAUCCAAGGAAGGCAGCAGGCGCGCAAAUUACCCACUCCCAGAACGGGGAGGUAGUGACGAAAAAUAACAAUACGGGACUCUUUUGAGACCCCGUAAUUGGAAUGAGUACACUCUAAAUCCUUUAACGAGGAUCCAUUGGAGGGCAAGUCUGGUGCCAGCAGCUGCGGUAAUUCCAGCUCCAAUAGCGUAUAUUAAAGUUGUUGCGGUUAAAAAGCUCGUAGUUGGAUCUCAGUUCCAGACGGGCGGUCCGCCUACCGGCGGUCACUGCCUGUUCUGAACAGCCAGCCGGUUUCCCCCGAUGAUCUUCACCGGUUGUCUCGGGUGACCGGCAAGUUUACUUUGAAAAAAUUAGAGUGCUCAAAGCAGGCGCGACGCCUGAAUAAUGGUGCAUGGAAUAAUGGAAUAGGACCUCGGUUCUAUUUUGUUGGUUUUCGGAACACGAGGUAAUGAUUAAGAGGGACAGACGGGGGCAUUCGUAUUGCGACGCUAGAGGUGAAAUUCUUGGACCGUCGCAAGACGAACUACUGCGAAGCAAUUUGGCCAGAAA